ACCCCGGCUGGCUCUCCGAGUGCUGCCUCUACUUUAAGUAGAAGUGCUUCUGCUUGAAGUAGAGGUAGCACUUGGGGAGCCGGCCGGGGUAGGGGGAUUUUUUUUUUUUUUUUUUUCAAU